AGGGUUUGAUUCUGGCUCAGGAUGAACGCUGGCGGCGUGCCUAACACAUGCAAGUCGAGCGAAGCGCUUAUCUUAGAUUUCUUCGGAAUGACGAGAUCUGCGACUGAGCGGCGGACGGGUGAGUAACGCGUGGGUAACCUGCCCUGUACAGGGGGAUAACAGUUAGAAAUGACUGCUAAUACCGCAUAAGCCCACAGCUUCGCAUGAAGCGGUGGGAAAAACUCCGGUGGUACAGGAUGGGCCCGCGUCUGAUUAGCUAGUUGGUGAGGUAAGAGCUCACCAAGGCGACGAUCAGUAGCCGACCUGAGAGGGUGACCGGCCACAUUGGGACUGAGACACGGCCCAA
rnacentral:rRNA from 1 species